rfam:Bacteroidetes bacterium oral taxon 272 str. F0290 ctg120009420973, whole genome shotgun sequence.
AGCCGCAUUAGUUGUACUGGGAAACUCAUCAAGUUAUAUUGAAUUCCGAGACAAGCUUCUUCAACCAAUGGCGGGCCACGCCUUCGGGUAGCAGCAAUGUCGGUGGAUUACAAAGGCUGAAGAGCACUCAAAUCCUGUCAUUCGGAGUUUCAUCGCAUCACUGGUGCGGCUUCAUAU